rnacentral:rRNA from 1 species
UGGGGGAUAUUACACAAUGGGCGAAAGCCUGAUGCAGCGACGCCGCGUGGGGGAUGAAGGCUUUCGGGUUGUAAACCUCUUUCGCUAUCGAACAAGGCCCGCUUAGGGUGGGUUGAGGGUAGGUGGAGAAGAAGCGCCGGCUAACUACGUGCCAGCAGCCGCGGUAAUACGUAGGGCGCGAGCGUUGUCCGGAAUUAUUGGGCGUAAAGGGCUUGUAGGCGGCUUGUUGCGCCUGCUGUGAAAACGCGGGGCUUAACUUCGCGCGUGCAGUGGGUACGGGCAGGCUUGAGUGUGGUAGGGGUGACUGGAAUUCCAGGUGUAGCGGAGGAAUGCGCAGAUAUCUGGAGGAACACCGAUGGCGAAGGCAGGUCACUGGGCCAUUACUGACGCUGAGGAGCGAAAGCAUGGGUAGCGAACAGG